ensembl:lncRNA
ACAGCCUUCACCACUAAUGAGCUCCAAGUAACUGAGUUACCUCUGGAUUUAGAAGGUUGAUGCAAAUGCAAGAACCACUUGCAGUGGCCAAAUUUGAACUCUUCUUUGAGUCACGAUUCUAAGAUCAGUAAUUCAAAAUGACAUUUGCAAAAUCAUGACUGAACAGUAAAUUACAGAGAAGAAGAGCACAGAAGGUAACUCGUGAAACAUCUUAGAGUUUUCAAGGAUCUGCAGGUACGUGGGAUUCAGAAGUUUCAAUGGAGAGGAUCUGGCUACAUCUCAGACAUAAGACUUCAGUUCAAUAAUACUUUGAGUGUUAUGUCUUGGUAAAGAAGAAGAUGGUCAAAUGCUGAACUAUAUGGUGUCCCUGGAGAUUCUGUGUCUGGACUGGAGCCUGAGACUGUAGAUUGUGCUCCCCUUAGCUCAGAUCACACACUCACCCAUUCCGGGCCCUUCCCUGGGCAAAGUCACACCAAAGAUACAGAGCAUUCAGAUACUGAACAGAUGUCCCUGCUGUACUCUACAGGCUCUUUGCUAACAUUGCCUGAAGGCUCUUCAUGUCAUACCCUUCCACUGGGGAAAUGCUACAUUUCAUUUUCUUCAUGCAUUCUGAGGACAGAGACCUGGACUCCUCCAAUCCUCUUCUGUGCCAGUCCCAAUGUUUGCCUUUUCUCAAUACAAAGGGCCAGUUUUGUGGGCACCAGCCAGGCAGAGAUCAGAGCUGGCAUCUGCUUUUAACUGUAUUUGGUGGAUGUUUCCUGCUUCUUCCUCCUGUGAAUAGGGCCUCAGUUAUACUCAAGUGAUUUCAGACUGUCCUGAGGAAACAACUGACCUCAGAGGAGAGCUGCUGAGAGCAGGCUCAAGAUUGGCCUCAACUGGAACACACGAUUGUUCUACAUCACAACACUGAUGAGUUAAAAUAUGAAUGUUGAAUCCAAAUCUUUGAAAAUGACUUUUUGAGAGUCCUUGAUUCAUACUGGUAACUGAUAAAGUAGAAAAUGAAAAUGCUAAG